GCUCCCGCGCUUCUCCUCUUCCUCCCGCGCUCGCGAAAUUGCAUACCUAUAUGACAGAUCUCAAAUCUCUCCAUAUUUUCUCCCUCAUCCGCCGGCCGUCGAAUCAAUGGCCACCUCGACCACAGCAACACUACACACCCAUCUUGUAUAAUCCCCCCUCCGCACACGCGAGAGAGAUCUGCCUAAAUCCCUAGUUCCCCACCUCCAGCUCCAACAACAUGUCCAUCCGCUCGAAGAGGAAGGUGGCGCCGCCUCCUCAGGCCAUUGCGAGCUCUACAGAUCCUCUCGUAGUUCCUACGCCACAAGUAGCGCCGUAUCCAUAUGGUCUCUGGUUUCCACCGCCGCCAACACCUUGGCUUGCUUCUCCACAAUCACACGCCAUGUCUGGCUCUCCUGCUUUCCCUCCUCCCACGGCCGGCAAGAUUGAUGUGCACAGUGACCUUGAAGAAUGGGGGGUUGAAUCUCGUCCGCCCGGCGGUUUCGUUAAUUUUAUCAAUACCCCAUCAAACAAUGUACAUCAUGUAGCCGAGGGGAGUCUAUCACAACCCAUCAAUGUUGACAAUGGAGAUGUUUCUAGGACUGAGAAACGCUUGUCUUGGAUGAAGGAUGAAGACGUGAGAUUGAUCAGUGCUUGGUUGAACAACUCAAAUGAUCCUAUAGAAUCAAAUUUCAAGAAGAACGAUAAAUAUUGGGGUGAUGUUGCUGCAGCUUACAAUAGCACUACACCAAUAAACCGAGCUAGACUAGUGAAGCAUAUUAAGGACCAUUUUGGUAAAAUUAGGAAGAAGGUCGGGAAUUUUUGUUGCUCUUGGAAGGAGGCUAAUUCAUUAUAUGCUAGUGGGGAGUCUACUGAAGAUCUGAUGAAUAAGGCACACAAGAUAUAUGAGAAUGACUUCAAGGAUGGUCCAUUCUUGUUUAUGCACUGUUGGAAUGAACUAAAAAAACAACCAAAGUGGCAUGCAUAUUUAGAGCAGCUUGACAUGUCAAACAAAAGGAAGGCAGAUUACAAUGAUGUUAUCCCCCUUGAUGAUGAAGAAGAUAUCCCACGACCAAUGGGAUCAAAGGCAGCUAAGGCACAACGUAGUGGCAAAGGAAAGAGCAAGAUCGAAGUUUAUACAGCUGAGCUAGAAGAUGACAUCCGUAAAUUUAUGGAUGCACAUGCAGCAGCCAAGGAAGGGCAGAGUGAAGUGUUGGAGACCCAAAAACGUGUUUCUAGUGACAACCUUGCAACUAAGAAGCUUGGUCGCCAAACAGCUAUGAUUGAAACUUAUCGAGACUUGAUGAACAAAGACACAACUAAGAUGCCUGACGAUGUGAGGUCUGAGUUUGUACAGAUGCUGAAAUGCAUGAGAGAAGAGAUAUUCAACAAAAAGCAGUGAGGAGAUUUGCUAUUCGUGCUCGUUCAAUCCAUACUCAGCUGAAAAAAGAUUUAAUUGAGCAUAUUUGGAAUCGGUUUGGAAAUAGACAGUAAACAUAAACAUGGAACAUGUUCUGCUGUGGAAUUCAUGGUGUUGCACUUCUUACAGCAAGAUGAUGAUAUUUCAGGCAAUGGUCGUAUGAUGCAAUGGUUCAAUCAUGGGUCGUACGUACACGAAUGAUGAAGAAAUCGUUAUCUCAUCUAUUGAAAAUCAUAUUUAUGUAUUUUGCUUAAUGUCACAUUGUUUGUGUGACUUUUGGAUUUGUGAACCAUUAAGUACGUUUUGCUUUAUCCUCUAUUACCUUGUCGGUUAUUUAAUCUUGCACUACUAUGUCCUUCUGUUUAGACCUGAGAUGACAUUAUGCAUUAAUUUACUUGGUUGCUAUUGUAUUUCAAUUAUCUGUGGUGCCUUGUA